rnacentral:rRNA from 1 species
AGCCAAAGCCAUAUCAUCCUGCAGCACAAGACCGGUUACUCAUUAAAGCUUGUCAGGGCUGAGCCUGGUUAGUACCUGCAUGGGAGACCACAAGAGAAAAGUUACUCAAUCUGUGGUCU